rnacentral:rRNA from 1 species
CGGGGUGAGUAACACAUGGGUGACCUGCCUUCCAGUGAGGAAUACCGGCGAGAAAUCGCCGACAAUACCGCAUAGGCUCGUGGGGUCACACCCGCGAGCAAAGCUCCGCAAGGGGCGCUGGAAGAGGGGCCCGUGGCCGAUUAGUUAGUUGGUGGGGUAAAAGCCUACCAAGGCCACGAUCGGUAGCUGGUCUGAGAGGACGAUCAGCCACACUGGGAUUGAGAACGGCCCAG